UACUCAGAAACACUCUUCUGGUCUCCCAUUCAUUGUCUAUGGAGCAGCUCCAGACUUUAUACCCUGUGACAUCACACGUUUGAAUUUUAGGACUCUAGU